rnacentral:rRNA from 1 species
GCUCAGAACGAACGCUGGCGGCAGGCUUAACACAUGCAAGUCGAGCGCCCCGCAAGGGGAGCGGCAGACGGGUGAGUAACGCGUGGGAAUCUACCCAUCCCUACGGAACAACUCCGGGAAACUGGAGCUAAUACCGUAUACGCCCUUCGGGGGAAAGAUUUAUCGGGGAUGGAUGAGCCCGCGUUGGAUUAGCUAGUUGGUGGGGUAAAGGCCUACCAAGGCGACGAUCCAUAGCUGGUCUGAGAGGAUGAUCAGCCACAUUGGGACUGAGACACGGCCCAAACUCCUACGGGAGGCAGCAGUGGGGAAUAUUGGACAAUGGGCGCAAGCCUGAUCCAGCCAUGCCGCGUGAGUGAUGAAGGUCUUAGGAUUGUAAAGCUCUUUCACCGGAGAAGAUAAUGAC